AGGACAACCAGUUGGUUCAUUUAAUGAUGAAUCAGAGCAGAAUCCCUUGCAUGUUUACUCAGACAUAAGCCUCAGUCCGGUCAGUGGGAUUUAUUGCCAGGCAGAGGCACCCAAAGGAAUUUUGCAUCCAGCCUAUAGCCAUGUAAGCUUUAAGAAGAGACAGGAAGCUCAUCCUGCUCUGGGAAGGUUCUAUGAGGAAGAAGUAUGAUUUCCAGAUGUGGGGCUUAACUAAUACAAACUACUCCAAAACAUAAAUCUCAAUAUCCUGAAAAGUAUUCACAUUUCUACUGCAUGGAAGAUUCCGCAUGUUGAACUUAUGCAUGCAAAGAUUACCAAUUCUUUACAGCAGAUUCUGUGAGGCGUCUCACAGUUUUUGAAUUUUUCAUGUUG